rfam:Triticum aestivum genome assembly, contig: Triticum_aestivum_CS42_TGACv1_scaffold_423673_5BS
CUUAUACUCCCUCCGUCCGGAAAUACUUGUCAUUGAAAUGGAUGUAUUUAGACGUAUUUUAGUUUUAGAUACAUCUACUUUCAUUCAUUUUGAUGACAAGUGAUUCCGGACGGAGGGAGUACUUA